rnacentral:lncRNA from 1 species
GCCUUUGCAGCCUCCAUACUUAGCGAUGGCCUCCUGGACCCACUUUCUCUCUCAAACUGUCUUUUCUCAUUCCUUUGACUCUGCUGGACUUCGUCAUCCCCACGACCCGGUGUUGAGUCUGAUCACCCAACAUCAUCAGGAUAGAAGCUUCCCUCUCCUCCUCCAGACCUUGUGGUGUGCACGUGGGAGUCCAGGGACUAGAAUACUCAUUUUCAAAGCCUGACAUUGGACCCGGGAGACAGGGAAAAACCAUCCUCAGGAAGUCACAUGACAUGUGAAGAAAGCUGAUCCCAUCCAGAGAACUCAACCACCAUGGAGAAGACAGCUGAGUACUCCACCAUUACACAGAGCAACUCCCUGCCACUCUUAGGGUUGGUAAGCUAUGCCAGAGCUUACAUUGCUGAUUAACAUGAUGUUAGAAGCAAGUAGCAUCCCUUAGAAAUCAAUCAGUAAAGAUAAAAUCUUGAGAAAUUCCUCUGAUAAAAGACAAAGAGAUAUACAUUGGCUUGUAAAAUAGAAUUCAACUGUAAAAGUAGCAUACAAAAAAAAGAUACAGAUUAACAAAUUUUUUAAAAGGCAGAUAAAAAUUCACAAGUCAAGUGCAAAUGAAGGAAAUCUCAAAAUACAAUUAAAUGUGAAAGACAUCACCCUUCCAGGAGGUGAAACUUAAUGAUUACUACCCUAAAUCUUUAAAUAUGGACUGUUCUUAAUGAUUUGCUCCCAAAGAAUCGAAUAUGAAGGAAGAUUUAAAAAAGGAGGGAGAGGAAGGGGAAGAAAUUUUAUAGUGGAGAAAACUAUCCAACACUAUCUUGCCCAGGUAUGAAGGAUAACAUCACCAAUAAUAAGUCAUGUCUCCAGUCUAACCAUGAGAAGAACGUCAGACAAACCUUUCUCUCUACUAAAUAACUGAUCACUGUUCCUUAAAACUUUCAAGACCACACACACACACACACACACACACACACACACACACACACACAUAUAUAUGUAGAGAGAGAGAGAGAGAGAGAUCCCAGAAAAUGAAACAAAAAGAACCUUGAAAAAAGAUUAGACGAAUUGCUCACUAGAGUAACCAGUUUAGAGAAGAACAUAAAUGAACUGAUGGAGCUGAAAAACACAGCAUGAGAACUUCGUGAAGCAUACACAAGUAUCAACAGCUGAAUCAAUUAAGCAGAAGAAAGGAUAUCAGAGACUGAAGAUCAACUCAAAGAAAUACAGUGAGAAGACAAGGUUAUAGAAAAAAAGAGUGAAAAGAAACAAUGACUCUGAGAAACAUAGGACUAUGUGAAAAGACAAAAUCUAUGUUUGAUUGGUGUACCUGAAAGUAAUGGAGAGAAUGGAGCCAAGUUGGAAAAUACUCUUCAGGAUAAUAUCCAGGAGAACUUCCCCAACCUAGCAAGGCAAGCCAACAUUCAAAUUCAGAAAAUACGGAGAACACCACAAAGAUACUCCUUGAGAAGAGCAACCCCAAGACACAUAAUCAUCAGAUUUACCAAGGUUGAAAUGAAGAAAAAAAUGUUAAGGGCAGCCAGAGAGAAAGGUCAAGUUACCCACAAAGGGAAGCCCAUCAGACUAAUAGCAGAUCUCUCAGCAGAAACCCUACAAGCCAGAAGAGAGAGGGGGCCAAUAUUCAACAUUCUUAAAGAAAAACUUUUUGGACCAGUCACAGUGGCUCAUGCCUGUAAUCCCAGCACUUUGGGAGGCUGAGGUGGGCAGAUCAUGAGGUCAGGAGUUUGAGACCAGCCUAACCAACAUGGUGAAACCCUGUCUCUACUAAAAAUACAAAAAUUAGCCGGGCAUGGUGGCGCACACCUGUAAUCCCAGCUACUCAGGAGGCUGAGGCAGAAGAAUCGCUUGAACCCAGGAGGCGGAUUUUGCGGUUAGCUGAGAUCAUGCCACUGCACUCCAGCCUGGGCCACAGAGUGAGACUCCAUCUCAAGAAAGAAAAAAAAAAAAAAAGAAUUUUCAAACCAGAAUUUCAUAUUCAGCCAAACUAAGCUUCAAAAGCAAAGGAGAAAUAAAAUCCUUUAGAGUAAAGGAAAUGCUGAGAGAUUUUGUCACCACCAGGCCUGCCCUACAUGAGCUCCUGAAGGAAGCACUAAACAUGGAAAGGAACAACCGGUACCAGCCACUGCAAGAACAUACCAACUUGUAAAGACCAUCAAUACUAUGAAGAAACUGUAACAACUAAUGGGCAAAAUAACCAGCUAGCAUCUUAAUGGCAGAAUCAAAUUCACAUACAACAAUAUUAACCUUAAAUGUAAAUGGGCUAAAUGCCCCAAUUAAAAGACACAGACUGGCAAAUUGGACAAAGAGUCAAGACCCAUUGGUGUGCUGUAUUCAGGACACCUAUCUGACAUGCAAAGACACACAUAGGCUCAAAAUAAAGGGAUGGAGAAAUAUUUACCAUGCAAAUGGAAAGCAAAAAAAGCAUGGAUUGCAAUCCUAGUCUCUGAUAAAACAGACUUUAAUUCAACAAAGCUAAAAAGAAACAAAGAAGGUCAUUACAUAAUGGUAAAGGGAUCAAUGCAACAAGAAGAGCUAUCCUAAGUAUAUAUGCACCCAAUACAGGAGCACCCAGAUUUCUAAAGCAAGUUCUUAGAGACCUACAAAGAGACUUAGACUCCCACAUAAUAAUAGUAGGAGACUUUAACACCCUACUAUCAGUAUUAGACAGAUCAAUGAGACAGAAAAUUAACAAGGAUAUCCAGGACUUGAACUCAGCUCUGGACCAAGCUGACCUAAUAGACAUCUACAGAACUCUCCACUCCAAAUCAACAGAAUAUACAUUCUUCUCAGCAUCACAUAAUAUUUAUUCUAAAAUUGACAACGUAAUUGAAAAUAAAACACUACUCAGAAAAUGCAAAAGAACGGAAAUCAUAACAGUCUUUCAGACCACAGUGCAAUCAAAUUAGAUCUCAGGAUUAAAAAACUCACUCAAAACUGCACAACUACAUGGAAACUAAACCACCUGCUCCUCAAUAACUACUGGAUAAAUAAUGAAAUGAAGGCAGAAAUAAAGAUGUUCUUUGAAACCAAUGAGAACAAAGACACAAUGUGCCAGAAUCUCUGGGACACAUUUAAAGCAGUGUGUAGAGAGAAAUUUAUAGCACUAAAUGCCCACAAGAGAAGGCAGAAAAGAUCUAAAAUCGACACCCUAACAUCACAAUAAAAAGAACUAGAGAAGAAAGCACAAACAAAAUCAAAAGCUAGCAGAAGACAAGAAAUACCUAAGAUCAGAGCAGAACUGAAGGAGAUAGAGACAUGAAAGACCCUUCCAAAAAUCAAUGAAUCCAGGAGCUGGUUUUUUGAAAAGAUCAACAAAAUAGAUAGACCACUAGCCAGACCAAUAAAGAAAACAAGAGAGAAUAAUCAAAUAGAUGCAAUUAAAAAUGAUAAAGGGGAUAUCACCACCAAUCCCACAGAAAUACAAACUAUCAUCAGAGAAUACUAUAAACACCUCUAUGCAAAUAAGCUAGAAAAUCUAGAAAAAAAUGGAUAAAUUACUGGACUCAUAUACCCUCCCAAAACUAAACCGGGAAGAAGAAGAAUCCCUGAGAAGGCCAAAAACAAGUUCUGAAAUAGAGGCAGCAAUUAAUAGCUACCAACCAAAUAUAGUCCAGGACCAGACAGAGUCACAGCCGAAUUCUACUGGAGAUACAAAGAGGAGAUGGUACCAUUCUUUCUAAAACUAUUCCAAACCACAGAAAAAGAAGGACUCCUCCCUAACUCAUUUUAUGAGGCCAGCAUCAUCCUGAUACCAAAACCUGGCAGAGACACAACAAAAAAGGAAAAUUUCAGGCCAAUAUCCCUGAUGAAAUCGAUGUGAAAAUCCUCAGUAAAAUACUGGUAAAGAUAAUCCAGCAACACAGCAAAAAGCUUAUCCACCACAAUCAAGUCAGCUUCAUCUCUGGGAUGCAAGGCUGGUUCAACAUAUGCAAAUCAAUAAACGUAAUCCAUCAGAUAAGCAGAACCAAUGACAAAAACCACACGAUUAUCUCAAUAGAUGCAGAAAAGGCCUUUGAUAAAAUUCAACUGCCCUUCAUGCUAAAAACUCUCAACAAACUAGGCAGUGAUGGAAUGUAUCCCAAAAUAAUAAGAGCUAUUUAUGACAAACCCACAGCCAGUAUCAUACCGAAUGGGCAAAAACUGGAUUCCCUUUGAAAACCGGCACAAGGAUGCCCCUUCUCACCACUCCUAUUCAACAUAGUGUUGGAAGUUCUGGCAAGGGCAAUCAGGCAAGAUAAAGAAAUAAAGAAUAUUCAAUUAGGAAAAGAGGAAGUCAAAUUGUCUCUGUUUGCAGAUGACAUGAUUGUAUAUUUAGAAAACCCCAAGGUCUCAGCCCAUAAUCUUCUCAAGCAGAUAAACAACUUGCAGCAAAGUCUCAGGAUACAAAAUCAAUGUGCAAACAAUCACAAGCAUUCCUAUACACCAAAAAUAGACAAACAGAGAGCCAAAUCAUGAGUGAACUCCCAUUCACAAUUGGUACAAAGAGAAUAAAACACCUAGGAAUACAACUUACAAGGGAUAUGAAGGACCUAUCCAAGGAGAACUACAAACCACUGCUCACGGAAAGAAGAGAGGACACAAACAAAUGGAAAAACAUUCCAUGUUGAUGGAUAGGAAGAAUCAGUAUCAUGGAAAUGGCCAUACUGCCCAAAGUAAUUUAUAGAUUCAAUGCUAUCCCCAUCAAGCUACCAUUGACAUUCUUCACAGAAUUGGAAAAAACUACUUUACAUUUUAUAUGGAACCAAAAAAGAGCCUGCAUAAUCAAGACAAUCCUAAGCAAAAAACAAAGCUGCAGUCAUCACACUACCUGACUUCAAACUAUACUACAAUGCUACAGUAACCAAAACAGCAUGGUAUUGGUACCAAACAGAUAUACAGAUCAAUGGAACAGAAUAGAGGCCUCAGAAACAAUGUCACACAUCUACCAACAUCUGAUUUUUGACAAACCUGACCAAAACAAGCAAUAGGGAAAGGAUUCUGUAUUUAAUAAAUGGUGUUGGGAAAACUGGCUAGCCAUAUGCAGAAAGCUGAAACUGGAUCCUUUCCUUACAUCUUAUACAAAAAAUUAACUCAAGAUGGAUUAAAGAUGGAUUAAAGACUUAAAUGUAGACCAAAACCCAUAAAAACCCUACAAGAAAAAUUAGGCAAUACCAUUCAGGACAUAGGCAUGGGCAAAGACUUCAUUACUAAAACACCAAAAGCAAUGGCAACAGAAGCCAAAAUUGACAAAAGUAUAAUUUUAAAAAUUAAAAAAAAGAAUUUUAAAGUUAAUAAUGAUUAUGCUUUAAUGAAAUAGACACAAGAUCACAAUAAUGAAAAACACAUAAAAGAUGAUUCAAAUUUAGUUUAAAAUACACAUGAACUAAAAUUCAGGAGGAAAUUUUCAAAAUGUUAACAUUUUUAUCUCUGUGUGAUGUGAUUAUGGAUGACUUUUAUGUCCUUUUUUCUAUUUAGUUUCUUCCCCCACAGUAAGAAUAUUACUUAAAUUAACAGAAAGCCAAAAAAAAAAAAAAAAACCACAAUAAAAAUGAGCUUAAAAGAUGUGGUACUGAAAGAUUUUUCUUUGAACAGUUGCACAAGCAAAGACAGUACUUAGUAGUAAAGCCUCUAAGGAAAAAGUGGACAUCUCAGCACAGAUGGCAGGAUAAAAAUGUAAUAUGGGGAGCACAAAAAAUAUGCAGACUGAAUCAAAACAGAGACAAUUCCCUUAGGUAGGUGGGCUUUUAAAAAUUGGGCACAGAAACCAUUUAUCCAUACCGGAUCUUGCCCAGAAGCAUUGAAAGAAAAACAAUGGAAGACAAUGGUGGAGGUUUGGGAAGAAGAGAAUGAGAAGCCAAUGCCCUGCUGCCUGCUACCCUUUAUCCACACCUGCCUCUCUCCUCUGCCCCAGGGCCCCCAGCAGCAGGCUCUGCAGAUGCAUUAGGUCCAGGCAACACAAUUUGAAAAAUCAACAAAAUCAUCUUAGGUUAGAUCUACUAUCAAUCACUCUCUAGUAAAGAUGAGCUGGAAAUUAUCAGAAUCCACAGUAUAAUCUUUGUGAUUUACUACAUAAGAAAAUUUAAGAAAACUUAUGCUAUUCUCAUGACACUAAAGCUUGGUUUAUUAAUUCUCCACAAUUUUAUUUGUCCUGUCUGUUAAAACCUUAUUUAAAAAAUAUUAUUCAGGGCCAGGUGCGGUGGCACAUGCAUGCCUGUAAUCCCAGCACUUUGGGAGGCCAAGGUGGGCGGAUCGCCUGAAGUCAGGAGUUUGAGACCAGCCUGGCCAACAUGGUAAAACCCUGUCUCUACUAAAAAUACAAAAAUUAGCCAGGGGUGGUGUCAUGCACUUGUAAUCCCAACUACUCAGGAGGCUGAGGCAGGAGAAUCACUUAAACCUGGGAGACGGAGGUUGCAGUGAGCCAAGAUCGUGCCAUUGCACUCCAGCCUGGGUGACAGGAGCAAGACUUCAUCUCAAAAAAAAAAAAAAUAUUCAGCUGGCUGUGGUGGGGUGGCUCACACCUGUAUUCCCAACACUUUGAGAGGCCAAGGCAGAAGGAUUGCUUGAGUCCAGGAGCUCAAAAACAUCCUGGGCAACAUAGAGAGACCCCAUCUCUACAAAAAAUUAAAAAAUUAGCCAGACAUGGUGCUGUGCACCUGUGGUCCCUGCUACUCAGGAGACUGAGGUGGGAGGGAGGAUUGUUGGACUACAGGAAUUUGAGGCUGCAGUGGGCUAUAACCACACCACUGCAUUCUAGCCUGGGCAACAGUGAGACCCUGUCUCAAAAAAAUAAAUUUAAAAAUUUAUAUAUAUAUUAUUCUAGCAUUUAUAGCUACUUGUUACUUAUUAUUAUUAUUAGCAUUUAUAGGUACUUGGCCUAGAAGGAUGCUUUCUGAUCGUUAGAGUUACCCAGAGUAAGAAAAACAGAAAGUAUACAUGUGAGUGAAUCUGACAAAAGCUGUAGGACUGAGAUGUCGAGUCAGUUUUGGCUUAAGCACACUUGGCUGUACUUGACAUGAAAGGAAAAAGAGUUCUUCCUGUGUCUGGCCACAGUGAGCCUGGACAAGGUUGUAUAAUGAUGGCAGCAAUAAGAGCAGCAGCAUGAACCCAGUCACAUUGUAUCAAAGCUGAGCUUAAUCUAGCAACUGCAGCUGCAGUGAGCAGAGGCUUGGAGAGAACUCAAGCACUUGGUUAGAUCUUACUUACUGAAUCUAUUAAAACUUUACAGAGAUUUCAACAGCUGGCCUUUCCUCAUUAUGGUACCAAUUGCUGCAGUAGAAAUAAAUGUGGACAUCUCUCUCAAUUGUAUGGGAAACAAUUGCUGCCCAAUGUGUAACCAUUAGCCACACCCUGCGAUUAAGCUCUCAAAUUUUGGCUAGUUUGAAUUGAAGUGUAAAGUACACAUCAGAUUGCAAAGACUUAGUAUAGGAAAAACAUGUAAAAUAUCUCAAUAAUUUUCAUAUUGAUUACAUGUUGAAAUGACUGUUUUGAUAUUUUAAGCUAAAUAAAAUAUAUUGGAACAAUACACUCAGGAUGGAUAAAGUUGACCCGAAGGAACCAAAGGGCAAGAUGUCUGCCUAUGCCUUCUUUGUGCAGAUGGGCAGAGAAGAACAUAAAAAGAAAAAUCUAGAGUUCCCUAUUAAUUUUACAGAAUUUUCCAAGAAUUGCUCUGAGAGGUGGAAGACGAUGUCUGGGAAAGAGAAGUCUAAAUUUGACGAAAUGGCGAAGGCAGAUAAGUACACUAUGAUUGGGAGAUAAAGAAUUAAGAACCAGCUAAGGGAGGCAAGAAGAAGAACCCUAACGCCCCCAAAAGGCCACCAUCUGGAUUCUUCCUUUUCUAUUCAGAAUUCUGCCACAAGAUCAAAUCCACAAACCCUGACAUCUCUAUUGGAGACAUGUCAAAAAGCUGGGUGAGAUGUGGAAUAACUUAAAUGACAGUGAAAAGCAGCCUUACAUCACUAAGGUGGCACAGCUGAAGAAGUAUGAGAAGGAUGUUGCUGACUGUAAGUCUAAAGGAAAGUUUGAUGGCCCAAAGGGUUCCACUAAAGUUGCCUGGAAAAAGGUGGAAGAGGACAACAAAGAAAAUGAGGAGGAUGGAAAAUAAGGAGGAGGGAGAGGAGUAAAAAAUUUAAAAAACUGUUUGUCUCCUUGUGAAUACCUUAGAGCAACAGUCUCCAACCUUUUUGGAACCAGGGACCAGUUUUGUGGGACAGUUUUUCCAUGGAUGGGUUGGGAGAUGGUCUUUGGGAUGAUUCACGCACAGUACAUUUAUUGUGCACUUUAUUUCUAUUAUUAUUACAUUGUAAUAUAUAAUGAAAUAAUUAUAUGACUCACCAUAACGUAGAAUCAGUGGGAGCCCAGAGCUUGUUUUCCUUCAACUAGACAGUCUUUCUGGGGGUGAUGGGAGGCAGUGACAGAUCAUCAGGCAUUAGUUAGAUUCUCAUAAGAAGCAGGUAAACUAGAUCCCUCGUAUGCACAGUUUACAACAGGGUUUGCUCUCCUAUGAGAGCUGCUGCUGAUCUGACAGGAGGCGGAGCUCAGAUGGUAAUGUGAGCCAUGGGGAGUGGUUGUAAAUACAGAUGAAGCUUUGCUCACUUGCCACUCACCUCCUGCUGUGUGGCCUGGUUCCUAACAGGCCACUGACUGGUAUCUAUCUAUGGCCCAGGGGUUGGGGACACCUGCCUUGAAGUAGGGGAGAGCUGUAAUUGACACAUCUCUUAUUUGAGAAGUAUCUGUUGCCCUCAUUAGUUUUAAUUACAAAGUUUGAUUAUGAUCAUAUUGUUGUUUCUCAAACUAGAAACUCUUUACAUGAAGUGGUCAAGUGGGUCUAGAGCACCCUGAAACUAUAUCAAAGUUGUACAUAUUUCCAAAUAUUUUUAAAAUGAAAAGGCAACUUCAUGCUCUCCUCACUCUGUGUGCUUUGCUGUUAGUGUGAUAAGGCAUUUAAAGGUGCUUCUGGCAUUUUUUUUUUUUUAAUUUGUAAGGUAGUGUUAACUACAUGGUUAUUAGCUAGAAAUCCUGAGUUAUCAAUUGCAUAUAUCCAUAGUUUGUAAAACGAACAAAACAACCAAGACAAACUCUUGAUGCUCUUUGCUUGAUGUUGAGGCUGUGGUAGAAGAUGCCUCUGGGAGUGGCCGUAGCUCAGGCUGUGCACUGUGAGGCUGGGCCUGUUGACUAUGCACUGGGCAUCCAUUUAGCUUCAGGUUGUCUUGUUUCUGUAUCUAACCACAUAGCAUUCUGCUACCAUUCCUAGCUGUGAACAAAAGGUGGUCAGCUGGCUUGAAAAGUAUUUACUUUUUGUUUUUGCUUUUUUUUCAGUUAAGUGUGGUAGUUUUUAAACCAUUUGUUUUUAAAGAAAGUGUAGAACAUUUCAUUGUCAACAAAGCGAAGAGCCACUGCAUCAAUGAAAGUUCAAGAACCUUCUGUACUUAAACAUGAUCUCCAACACUCUGUUUUUUUGUAUGUUUAGAAUGCUGAAAUAUUUUUAAAAUUAAAUAAACAGCAUUACAUUUUAAUAAUACAUUACUAAAACUAUUUUCAACAUUUCUCUUACCUUUUUUUAAAUGUGGAUACUAGAAAAUUUUAAAUUACACAUGUGGCUUAUAUUUAAGAAACUGGCAUUAAGUUUCUACUGGACAGCACUGCUACAGAGCAAACAGAACUGGGACUGCUGUUGUUAGGCCCUCAGGUCUUAUUUGGGAUUUUUGCGGAGGGAGGAUUCCUUGUUUUACGAAUGGAGAGAACACAGCCCCAUCCUUUUGAGUUCUUGACAUUUCAACUGGGGUUUAUGUUUCUUUGUGAAAGCAGGAAAUACCAGUUACAUUCCAUAAUAAAUGAUGGAGAUGUGGACUAACCCAAAAAUGAACACAGAGUGAGCCUUUUGUUGGCUUGUGCAAUGGUUAGAAACUGCAUUGAGUCUUUUGAUCAAACCAAUUCUGUUUUCUUGCCCAUAUGAAAAGGAGAAAAUUAUUUAAACAGAUUUCAAAAAAGGAAUGUGGAUAUUGACCAUCAAAAUGAGCCUAGGAAUGCACCAUAUCAUUGACAGCUAGUCUGAACUUUUAUCUAGGGAUAUGUCCUCUUUUAUUUAGGUCUAAACUUCUAUGCAGAAUACUUUUCUCUGAAAUUGAAGAUUAAUCUUCUGAAGCCUAUGAAUUCUAACAUAGCAUUAAAUUACAUAUUUCUUCAAGAGUGUCUUCAUUCAUCAUUUACAUAUAUUUUGAGAGUCUGAGUAACAUGACAGUAGAUUCUAAGAUGGAGUUUACAUUAUACAGUCCCAUACUUCAAGGGCCUUAGCAUUUUCAUUUGUUUAUUCAACAGAUAUUUAUUGAGCACUUACUAUGUGCCAGGCAGUCUACCAGGCAUUAGGGGUGCAAUAGGAAUCAAAAAUAGAAUAAGAUCACUGAUCUACAAAUUACAGCCUACUGUGGGAGGUAGACAUUUAUCAAAUAAUCACAUGUGAGAGAUCUCAGAAGCAGGGAGCAGGGAGAAUUCAAAGCUCAAGUGGAAGGAUGAAUUGUAGACAGGAGGAAGUACGGCUCCUCCGAAUGUAACAGGAGAAGUGAUUCCCCGAAUCCAGUUGGCUGCAAAACAAGUUAAUGUGUUUGAUAUAAAGUGUGUGAGAAGAGAGCAAAACUAGCUGGAAUGCUUAGUAUAUUAUUUUAUAACUCAUCAUCUAGGCAUGGCUAGUUACUCAAGGUAAGGUUUAAUUUAAGAUAAUGUCCGGGAUUUAGAAAUAGACUCAUCUGUUAGUAAAUUGCAGCUUUGGGGUGGCAGGACACAUCAAUAACAGUAGAAGGAGAUACUUGGCAGUAGAGACAGGCUUGUCAUCACCAUCUAGGAAAUCUAUAAUGUACAAAGACUGGGCUUCUGUACUGGCAGAAACCCUUCAGCAGGUCUAAGCAGCAAGGCAGGAUAACAUUGCAAAAACUCAAAACAUAGGUCAAGAUAGAAUUCUAGUAUCUUGAAUUGAGCAUACAGAAUGUGAGGACAUGGGGAGUUGGAGGACAGAGAUAAUGACACUCAAGAUAAAAACUCAGGUUUAGGAGUAUUCUUAUCAGAAAUAUUCAGGAAAAAGCCUUUAUUUGGAGAACACUGUGGCAGUCCAGUGGCCAGGACUGGCCAUAACCUGGGGUAGAUUAGCAAGUGUAAUCAGUGCUGCAAUACCAUGGGCAGGAUUAGCCUGUUAGGGAGCAAGGCUUACUCCCAAGUUCCCCAAGGAUGUGGAACUUUAAAUAGGUUUUGA